UACGGAGGGGGCUAGCGUUGUUCGGAAUUACUGGGCGUAAAGCGCACGUAGGCGGCUUUGUAAGUUAGAGGUGAAAGCCCGGGGCUCAACUCCGGAAUUGCCUUUAAGACUGCAUCGCUAGAAUUGUGGAGAGGUAAGUGGAACUGCGAGUGUAGAGGUGAAAUUCGUAGAUAUUCGCAAGAACACCAGUGGCGAAGGCGGCUUACUGGACCGGUUCUGACGCUGAGGCGCGAAAGCGUGGGGAGCAAACAGG
rnacentral:rRNA from 1 species